rnacentral:rRNA from 1 species
UGGGGAAUCUUGCGCAAUGGGCGAAAGCCUGACGCAGCGACGCCGCGUGCGGGAAGAAGGCCCUCGGGUUGUAAACCGCUUUCAGGAGGGACGAAGCCACUCGGGUGAAUAGCCCAGAGGGUGACGGUACCUCCAGAAGAAGCCCCGGCUAACUACGUGCCAGCAGCCGCGGUAAUACGUAGGGGGCAAGCGUUGUCCGGAUUCAUUGGGCGUAAAGAGCGUGUAGGCGGCCAGGUAGGUCGGUUGUGAAAACUGGAGGCUCAACCUUCAGAGGUCGAUCGAAACCAUCUGGCUAGAGUCCGGGAGAGGAGAGUGGAAUUCCUGGUGUAGCGGUGAAAUGCGCAGAUAUCAGGAAGAACACCCGUGGCGAAAGCGGCUCUCUGGAACGGUACUGACGCUGAGACGCGAAAGCGUGGGGAGCGAACAGG